AUCUUAAAAAAAUCAGAAACACCAACGGAAGCGAUGAUCAGUGACAAUCAUUUAAUUAAUAGGUUUUAUUCGGGUGAGUAUCGUUCCAAAAACUAUAAUAUUAUGUAAAAACUAAAAUAUUUUUUUCUUAUCCAAUAAAAUUAGGUCAUUGUGUUGUGUUAUUGCAUCAAGUCAAAAUCGAAUCAUCAGAGGCAAUAUCUUGGAGCUCCUUCGUUGCUGCCGUUAGAAAUCCUUUGUUUAUAUUCAUUCUCUUCGCCAUCAUAUGGAAUUUAACAAUGUUUUAUAAACUAAUGCAUACUUCUCAGUAUCUACUAUUAGCCCAUACUUAAUUUGAGACUCUGAUAGUUUUUCCCCAAUAAAUUCCUCCACGAUAUUCUUAAGUGAGGUGAAGUAUGUUUUAAUGGGUUUACAUUCUCCUUUUCCAAUUGUUCUUUUUUAUUGUUUCCCCACAUCCACAACAUUUGAUCAAAUUUCCUUCCUGUGUUCUUAGGUUUCCAACAUAGAAUGGUCCUGAUGCAAUUUUAUAUCUGUUGAGCAUUUGGCUCAAUAUUAAAUCCUUUGUCAUAGAUUCCAUAGCAGAAAUUUAAUUGAUUUCCUGUCUCAAUUCCAGUUCUUUUUAAAAGGUGCUAUAUUUAAAGAUUUACAAUCAACAGAAUAAUUUUGUUGAUCAUCAAGGAUGUGUAAAUCAAAAAAUAUAUAUUGUGGGGAAGAACAACAUAUUUUUAAUUUUUUAAAUAUUCUCCUCUAUUUUAAUAAUUUUAAGGUAUUAGUAAAACUUAAUUGUAGCAUUUUGCGCGUGGUAAAAAAAAAUCAAAAUCGUCACUGAUUUUAGUUGGAUCUUUAUUUUUUCAAUCCAGUUCAGUCUUAGGACCGGUCUUAUCGGUACUUCGAAAUUGUACUUAAGACCAUCGGUUCUUAGGAUUGUCAGUCCUUGGUGACAUACAUUAACUGUUGGUCCUUGGAUUUUUUCGUUGAAUUAUCAAUGGUUUAAUAAGCCAAAUAAGAUAUACGAAUUAUACAACGGAAUAUUUACUAAUAGGAAUAGUACACUCAAUGACGUUACGAAGGAUCCAUUUUACCUUCUUAGAGGACCAAAAAGUGGCAUUGGAUUGGACCAAGGUCCAAUCUGCUAAAAUCAGCUGUGAUGAAGAGACGAUAAAAAUAAACAAGGGCAUGGGCAAUAUUUAACCCAAUCUCGAUCCUCAAUUUUAUUCUGAGUCCAACAAAAACUUGGAAUUAUAACUCUGCCAUAAAUCCUCAGGGUUACUCUCCGUCUUUUAAGAGCACACGCAUAUUUUUAAUUUGUAUAAAUCAUGGAUAUCUUAAAUAUAGUUGAAAAGAAAAGUCACUUUCCAGGUUGCUAAAUGUUUAAAUAUGCAAACUAAAAGAUGUAACUGAUUAACAUUACUAUUUUAUUUUAAUAAAUGUCAGCAAAUCCCA
rnacentral:lncRNA from 1 species